rnacentral:rRNA from 1 species
AUGUCGGCUGUUGACUCGUGGCACUUUUGUGCCAAACUUGCCCGCCAAUUCAUGAAAGGGUGGGGUGCAAACCUUGGCCGGGAUCUCCGAGAAUGGAAAAAGGCCCUUCUGCUGGCGAUUCAAGCUCUGGACGCCCGUGCCGACACAUCUGGAAUCUCUCCAGAUGAGUGGAUGUUGCAAUAUGACCUUGAAGACCAGCUGUCAACCAUCUACACUGAUGAAGAGGCCUACUGGCGAAUACGGGGUACCCAGCGGUGGGUACUUCGGGGAGAUGCCAACACUGCAUAUUUCCAGGCAGUGGCGAACGGCCGCCGACGCCGCAACUCCAUCCACUGCCUCUGGGAUGGAGAGACCCCUCUCGUCCACCCCGUGGCCAUCCGCUCCCAUGUGGAUGGCUUCUACAAGGCCCUAUUUACCCCCACCCCUCGGGGUGGGGCUAGUCUCACCCCCGACAUUUGGUCGGGUGCGCAAUUGGUCUCUGAUGCGGCCAAAGCCGCUUUAGUGGCCCCCUUCGCCGAGGAUGAGGUUCUCCAGGCUAUUAAAGGGAUGAACCCCGCCUCGGCCCCGGGGCCGGACGGCCUGCCAGUAACGUUUUUUAAGACGUUCUGGCAGACCAUCAAGCCAGAGGUCAUGGCUCUGUUUGAGGAAUUCUUCUCGGGUUCCAUGGAUCUUGGGCGCCUUAACUAUGGCAUCGUGGCCCUCAUCCCCAAGGUCUCGUGUGCCUCCGACAUCCGCCAAUUUCGGCCAAUCACUGUGAUCAAUGUGAUUUUCCGGAUCUUGGCUAAAGGGUACGCCAAUAGGGUGACCCUGCUCGCGGAUGCCAUUACCCACCCGAAUCAAUCCGCAUUCAUUCAAGGCUGA